UACGGGGGGAGCAAGCGUUGUUCGGAGUUACUGGGCGUAAAGGGCGCGUAGGCGGUUGAUUAAGUGAGAUGUGAAAUCCCUGGGCUUAACCUAGGAACUGCAUCUCAUACUGGUCAGCUAGAGUAUUGUAGAGGGUAGUGGAAUUUCCGGUGUAGCGGUGAAAUGCGUAGAGAUCGGAAGGAACACCAGUGGCGAAGGCGGCUACCUGGACAAAUACUGACGCUGAGGCACGAAAGCGUGGGGAGCAAACAGG
rnacentral:rRNA from 1 species